UGCGAUAGUCCCACCUGAAUCCAUGCCGAACUCAGAAGUGAAAUGUCGUAAUGCCGAUGGUAGUGUGGGGAUUCCCCAUGUGAGAGUAGGUC
rnacentral:rRNA from 1 species